UCCAGCGUAACGAACGCGGGCGCCAUUGAACAGAAAGGUCUGACAGAUGACUUUGAGAGCCCUGCUGAAGAACCUGCGGACACCAGCACGGACUUCCAGGACUUUCCUGACGCAGCUGCUAAUCGGACACGUGAAGUGUAUAACACGAUGCCCAUCCAACAAAGUGCUCCGCACGAUAACGCAUCCGAUACAUUCAACUACCCUGACCAAGACGUCGAAACCACUUGAUUGCGUGCUUUAAUUUAGACUCACAAUGAAGUCUUAAAUAUGGACCGUAAUAUUGUUACCCAUCAUCGAAAUAAGCAUAUUAUAGUGGAUUUCAUUAUAUACGAGUUAGUUUAACUUUUGAUUAAACGUAAAUGAAGGGGU